rnacentral:rRNA from 1 species
GACGAACGCUGGCGGCGUGCUUAACACAUGCAAGUCGAACGGAAAGGCCUGCUUUCCCUUGUGGAUUGCGGGUACUCGAGUGGCGAACGGGUGAGUAACACGUGAGUGAUCUGCCCCCAACUUGGGUAUAAGCCUGGGAAACUGGGUCUAAUUCCCGAUAGGACUGCAGGGUGGUGCCUGUGGUGGAAAACGAUUUUCUAGUGGUUGGGGAUGAGCUCGCGGCCUAUCAGCUUGUUGGUGGGGUAAUGGCCUACCAAGGCGGCGACGGGUAGCCGGCCUGAGAGGGUGGACGGCCGCAUUGGGACUGAGAUACGGCCCAGACUCCUACGGGAGGCAGCAGUGGGGAAUAUUGCACAAUGGGCGGAAGCCUGAUGCAGCGACGCCGCGUGGGAGAUGACGGCCUUCGGGUUGUAAACUCCUUUCGACCGCGAGGAAGCCACCUGGUUGGAAGGGUGGUGACGGUAGUGGUAGAAGAAGCACCGGCUAACUACGUG